CACCUGCACGCCGGUGUAGUUCUCGAAGAAGAAGAGCACGACACUCUGGUAGACGGUGUAGAGGCCGUCGUCCACGGGGUGGUAGAGGCGCCGGGGCAGCAGCAGCGCCAGCAGCCGCCACGCCGCCCAGCCCAACAGAUGGAAUGAAUCUUAAAUGUUUGAAAGAAGCCAAGAGAGAGAUUAGAGAGGAAUUGUUCGAAUCAUCAACACUCACUGAUGGGGCUCUUUCUGCUGCGCACGGCCUUCUGGCCUAACAGCUUGGAUUGGUGCGGCCGAUCCGGACUCUGGCCCAGAGCUGCAGCAGUGGGUGCAGCGCGGACUUUCCAUCGCGGAGCCUGGGAUCCCUCGCUGGGGAUCGCCGGAGAAGAGCAUCGACUGCUGGCCUGCGGCCUAUAACAUCGUGAAGCCGCGGCCUCCGGUAGAAAGCGGCCGAUUCGGCAUCUCCAAGCCGCGGAGUGUCUGUCCGUCCCAACGUCGGAGUUUCGAACAUCCCGACGAGAGGGCCUGUACAUCGGGGCGUCUGUCGUGGCGACUGCGGAGGGUUCAUGGCCCCGACCACGGAUGAACAAAGGAGGAGAACUGAACGUUAUUCCCUUCCACUGUGAUUCCACUGUGGUGGAUGUUCAUGUUGUAUUCUAUUGUGUAUUGUGCUCUUUUUGAUUGUGUGGCUGCAUGGUAAAUCAAAUUCCACCUUAAAUGGUGCAUGUGGCAAUAAAUGUGAACUUCAACUUGAAAAAUCCCCAUUGACUUGGCCUCCACUGCCGUCUGUGGCAAUGAAUUCCACAGAUUCACCACCUGACUAACAAAAUUCCUCCUCACCUCCAUUCUAAAGGUACGUCCUUUUAUUCUGAGGCUGUGCCCUCUGGUCCUAGACUCUCCUAGUUACUGCAGUAGAAUUGGGUUACAUGGACUUCUAAAAGGUAUUGGAGUACCACCACACAAACAGAUUAUUAACCUGAAAGUCUGUUAAGAAAUUGGCCAUUGAAUAUAAAACUGCCUCACUGACAGUUAAUCCAGUGACGGCUGAGAAAGGAAGUCAUAGUCAAAUUGACAAGGCAUGGAAAGAGGCCCUUUGGCCCAACUUGUCCACGUCCUGUCUCAGAUGCCAGCUUUAGGUUUAUUAUUAUUGUCACGUGAAAUCAGAUCAGAUUUAAACUUUAGACUUUAGAGAUACAGUGCGGAAACAGGCCCUUCGGCCCACCGAGUCCGCACUGAUCAAUGAUCACCGCAUACACGAGCGCCAUCCUACACACACUAGGGACAAUUUAAUUUUUUUUUUACCAAAGCCAAUUAACCUACAUACCUGGACAUCUUUGAACAAACCAGAGCACCUGGGGAAAACCCACGUGGUCACAGCGAAAACGUACAAACUCCAUACAGACAGCACCCAGAGUCAGGAUCAAACCUGGGUACUUAGUGCUGUGAGGCAGCAGCACUACCGCUGCGCCACCGUGCCAUCCUACUUGAUAAUACUAUACGUCAAUACCAUCAAAUCAAAUUACAGUUCUAGAAACACAGUCCAAUGUCCGCAAAUGGGAUUGAGGUGAAUCAGACAGUACCCUAGCUUACGGAAGGAGUGUUCAGAAUCCUGAUAACAAAGGGGAAGAAGCUGUUUUUGAGAACAGGUGAGAACUGCUUUUUGCAUUAUUGUGUUAUUAAUGUAUUUUUUUUGUUUAUACAUUAACAUUGUGCAUUGCAUUCACAAGCCCGUUAUGCUCCUGUAACUCUAGAGGUCUUCAUAUAACUGAUUGCACCCUUCACAUAACAAUAUGAGUAGUUGUGCCUUUAGCUGCAUCUAACUUGCAAUAAUUCUUUCCUGAAAACCUUUCACCUCCCUCUCUCUUUUUGGAUCUUACACCCUUCAUAAUUCCACCAUAUAAUCCAUCUUCGAAAUGAUUUAAAUCCCCAGUACUUCACUGGAUCCAGCUUUGUUAGUGCCUGAUUGUACACUGUUUUUUUCUACACAAUAGUAUCACGCAGAUGCAAGCUGCCAUUGAGAACAUUAAUUAGAGCUGAGAUUAAGAGAGCCCACAGGGUUGCAAAAAGGUCAAAUUAUAUUUUAUUCGAUUUCUGCGCUGAAAGCGUCAAUGUAACUUCUUGUAAGAGAACAGAGGGAGAGAAUAGAACAUUUGUGUUUAGUUUAGUUUAGAGAUACAGCAUGGUAACAGACCCUUCGGCCCAUCGAGUCUGUGCUGACCAGCGACCACCCGUUCACUCGUUCUGUCCUACACAACAGAGACAAUUUACAGAGACCAAUUAACUUAAAAACCUGCGCGUCUUUGGAGUGUGGGAGGAAACCGGAGCAUCCGGAAAAAACCCAUGCAGUCACGGGGAGAAUGUGCAAACUCCGUACAGAAAGCACCCGUAGUUGGGAUCAAACCCGGGUCUCUGGCACUGCGAGACAGCAACUCUACCACUGCGCCACUGUGCCAUAUAAAAUGUCCUUCAAAAAUGGUGGUAGGAAUUUUCUCAGAGGUAAUUUAUUAAUAAUGAAAACUAAUGAAUAUUCGACGAACCUAAUGACUUCCAUGUUGUAAAGUUCUAUGAUUUAAUGAAUUUAGAAUUUGCUUUCACGAUUAAUCAUGAGAUGUCCGUGCAAUAACAUAAAUUGCUUCAUUAUUUUGGAUGCAAUAACAUUUGUAUUUUUAGAUUAAACAUGAAAUGCAAAACUUUUUUUUAACAUCGAAUGUUCUCGGCGAUGAGUGAGUUCUGUGACUGGGUCACUGGAGGUGACUUGUAAAGCAGAUGCAAAAAUGGGGAUUUCGUCCAAAACAACAUAUUUCUAAAAUUGAAAACAACAAGUAAAACUUUGCUUGUGGGUGGAUGGGUCAAGGGGGACUUUGAAUUCUCACAACAUUUUAGGCAGUCAGAAAACUCUCUUUAAACCAUGCUGUUAUGCACUUUAUAAUUGCUUUAUCAAUCUUUAAAGAAAUGUUUUUGGGGCACUAGUUUCUCAUGAUGGUUUUAUGGUCCACAUCUCCCAGGCUCACACGCUGUAAAAUGCACUACUUUGACAGAAAGCAAUGGAAGAAAAUACAGUGUAUGGCCCUCUUUUCCCACAUACUGUAACAAUCUGAAAUGUCGACAGGCAAUAUAUUAACAGAAUAACCUAUCAUCAGAAUUUUAACAAUACAGGGCCGGCCACACAAACGAAUGCAUUGGUAAAGUGUAUCAGUGAUAUUGUGGAUACCAGAGAGGAAAACGUAUGGAAGUUGAAACAAAAAAAGGUUGAACCUGACAUUGUUUCCAAAAUGUAUCAUAUAAAAUGUAGAUGACUGACAUAUACAAAUGUAUGGUGCGAUUGCUGUGCAACUUUGUAUUGCCGAGGUGUUGCAAGACUUAAGGGCCUGUCCCACUUGGGCGAUCUAAUCCGUGAGUCCAGAAGAGUGCCUUCGACCUUCAAGCUCGAGGGCACUCGCUGGAAAGCCUCGAGCUGGAUCGACCGGCCGCGUUGAAACCGCGAGCUGGAUCGACCGAACCGCGAGCUGC